CUUGGUCAUUUAGAGGAAGUAAAAGUCGUAACAAGGUCUCCGUUGGUGAACCUGCGGAGGGAUCAUUACAGAGUUGCAAAACUCCCAACCCUUUGUGAACGAACCUACCAGUUGCCUCGGCGGCGAGCCUUUCAGGCGGACCGCCGAAGGAAUACAAACUCUUUGCAUCAUAGUAUCUCUGAUUACUUAUUCAAUAAGUUAAAACUUUCAACAACGGAUCUCUUGGUUCUGGCAUCGAUGAAGAACGCAGCGAAAUGCGAUAAGUAAUGUGAAUUGCAGAAUUCAGUGAAUCAUCGAAUCUUUGAACGCACAUUGCGCCCGCUAGUAUUCUGGCGGGCAUGCCUGUUCGAGCGUCAUUUCAACCAUCAAGCCCUAGGCUUGUGUUGGAGCCCUGCGGCUGCCGCAGCCUCCUAAAAACAGUGGCGGGCUCGCUAUUACACCGAGUGCAGUAGUUUACUCUUCGCUCAGGGCGUGUGGCGGGUGCUGGCCGUGAAACCCCCUACUUCUUAAGGUUGACCUCGGAUCAGGUAGGAAUAGCCAGCUGACUUAAGCAUAUCAAUAAGCGGAGGA
rnacentral:rRNA from 1 species